GAUGAACGCUGGCGGCGUGCCUAAUACAUGCAAGUCGAGCGAACAGACGAGGAGCUUGCUCCUCUGACGUUAGCGGCGGACGGGUGAGUAACACGUGGAUAACCUACCUAUAAGACUGGGAUAACUUCGGGAAACCGGAGCUAAUACCGGAUAAUAUAUUGAACCGCAUGGUUCAAUAGUGAAAGACGGUUUUGCUGUCACUUAUAGAUGGAUCCGCGCCGCAUUAGCUAGUUGGUAAGGUAACGGCUUACCAAGGCAACGAUGCGUAGCCGACCUGAGAGGGUGAUCGGCCACACUGGAACUGAGACACGGUCCAGACUCCUACGGGAGGCAGCAGUAGGGAAUCUUACGCAAUGGGCGAAAGCCUGAUGGAGCAACGCCGCGUGAGUGAUGAAGGUCUUCGGAUCGUAAAACUCUGUUAUUAGGGAAGAACAAAUGUGUAAGUAACUAUGCACGUCUUGACGGUACCUAAUCAGAAAGCCACGGCUAACUACGUG
rnacentral:rRNA from 1 species